rnacentral:rRNA from 1 species
UACGUAGGGACCAAGCGUUGUUCGGAUUUACUGGGCGUAAAGGGCGCGUAGGCGGCAGAUCAAGUCAGCUGUGAAAUCUCAGGGCUUAACCCUGAACGGUCAGCUGAUACUGUUUUGCUAGAGUGCAGAGGGGGCAAUCGGAAUUCUUGGUGUAGCGGUGAAAUGCGUAGAUAUCAAGAGGAACACCUGAGGCGAAGGCGGGUUGCUGAGCUGACACUGACGCUGAGGCGCGAAAGCUAGGGUAGCAAACGGG